AAGAAGCUACUGGAAAAUCAAGGUGAGGAUCCAGAUAAUGAUGAUCAAGUUGAAGAGCAUACACAUGAUAAGGAUACUGCUACUGAGGAUCCAGUUCAAGAGAAUGCAACUGAAAAUGAUGUGGCUAUGGAGGAUCCAAAACAAAGGCAUGCAAUUGAUCAUGGUCCAGAUGAAAAUGAGGAGGAUCAAGCUGAGGAGGAUCAAGAUCAUGAAGGAAAAGACGCUGCCACUGAAAAAGCAACCUCUGGAGAUCAACCAGGUGUUCAAAUGCAGACUCCAACUAUCAAGGAUGCUGAAAAGCAAGAAAAAAAAGAGACUGCCAAAAAGAAGACGAGAACACUGGUAAAAAAUAUUCGAAUGAGGGAUGAUCGUAAACCAAAUGUCUAUCCACAUUAUGAUUAUAUCCCCAUCCAGAAAAAACAAAAGAAGGCAAAAUACAUAUAUGCUGUGAGUGACAGUGAAAGCCCUUCAAUUUUGCCGUCAGAAAGCCAACCAUUGGAUCUAAUAAUUGAGAAAGGAAAGGAGGAGCCCAAGGUUGAAUCACCCUUGAAUCCAAUUGCUAAAGAAAUAGCAAACAAACCUGCAAAGAAGGAUGCAAAGAAACCUGUAAAGCGAAAGCUUGACAAACGGUAUCAUCUACCUGCAUCAACAAGGGCGUACAAGUUACUUGCAGAUGAGACAAAAGAAAAAUUCAAGGAAUAUUACAGACAAGAGAAAAAUGUAAGUUUACAUUAUUAAUCAUAACUUAAUACAUGUGUACACACACACACACACAUAUAUACAUAGAUAUAUAAUACGUUUUAUUUUUCUGAUACAGGGACUACUUCUGGAUGCAGCCAAGGCAAGGGUCCAUUGUGAAUGACCUUGUUGUCCUAAAAUCAGAUCUGACAUCAUUGUUUGUGGAUGGAGCAAUCGAUGCCAACAUAAUUGAUGCUUCGUUCUACACAAUGGCAGAAAACGAAUAAAAAAUGAGGCAACAAAAAAAUAUGUAUCUUCUUCCUUCAUUCAUAUUUGUAAGUGCCAAACAGUUUUGUUUACAAAAAAGUUCAUUUUGAUAAAAUAGUUCAUUUUAUUUUGAUAAAAUAGUGUGGUUUUGUAGUUCAGUUUGAUAAAUAGUUCAGUUUGUUUUGAUAAAAAAGUGCGGUUUUCUAUUUCAGUUUGAUAUAUAGUUCAGUUUGCUAAAUAGUUCAGUUUAAUAAAUAGUUCAGUUUACUAAAUAGUUCAGUUUGCUUUGGUAAAAAAGUGUGGUUUUCUAGUUAACUUUGAUAAAUAGUUCAGUUUGAUAAAUAGUUCAGUUUGCUAAAUGGUUCAGUUUGAUAAAUAGUUCAGUUUGCUUUGGUAAAAAAAGUGUGGUUUUCUAGGUCACUUUGAUAAAUAGUUCAGUUUAUUUUGAUAAAAUAGUGUGGUUUUGUAGUUCAGUUUGCUAAAUGGUUCAGUUUGAUAAAUAGUUCAGUUUGCUAAUAGUUUAGUUUGAUAAAUAGUUCUGUUUGCUUUGGUAAAAAAGUGUGGUUUUCUACUUUAAUGUUGAUAAAUAGUUCAGUUUGCUAAAUGGUUCAGUUUGAUAAAUAGUUCAGUUUGCUAAAAGUUCAGUUUGCUUUGGUAAAAAAAUGUGGGUUUCUAGUUCACUUUGCUAAUAGUUCACUUUAAUAUGUAGUUCAGUUUGCUAAAUGGUUUAGUUUGAUAAAUAGUUCAGUUUGAUAAAUAAAUAGUUCAGUUUGCUAAAUGGUUUAGUUUGAUAAAUAGUUCAGUUUGAUAAAUAGGUCAGUUUACUUUGGUAAAAAAAGUGUGGUUUUCUAGUUCACUUUGCAAAUAGUUCACUUUAAUAUGUAGUUCAGUUUGCUUUGGUAACAAAGCGUGGUUUUCUAGUUCACUUUCAUAUGUAGUUCAGUUUGCUUUGGUAACAAACUGUGAUUUUCUAGUUCACUUUGCUAAAUAGUUCACUUUGAUAUUAGUUCAGUUUGCGAAAAGGCCUUGCAUUCACUUUAAAACUUUAAAUGUGUAUUCUUGGUUUAGAAUGAUAUGUGGAGAGAUUGAAAAAAAAAAUGUGUAUUUUUUUGUUCAGUUUAAGAAUUAGUAUUGCUCAUUAAUUAAGAUUAAUAAAUACAUGUGUAUUCUUGGUUCAGAAUGAUAUGGAGAUUGAGAAAAGCAAGAGUGAUCAGGAGCAUAUUGACAAAACAUUGCAGACAGUCUUGCAAGAUAAUGUGGAUAAAGUAGCAAAGGUCUUCAUAUUGAUCAGGCAUUACUUUCACUUCAGCUUGGUAGUUUGGGACAUUAAAAAUGGAAAAAUGACAAACUACAAUUCCAAACUACCAAGGGUACAUGGGAAUACAGACCUAUACUUUGAUCAUGUUGUUCAAGUGGUAAGAACAAAACUAUAAUUCAAUUACAAACUAUAUUCUUAUGCUGAUAGGAAAAAUCAAACUUCAUAAUACAAUUUCUUUUUUUGUUGUUUUUUUUUGUUUUUGUUUUUUUGAUUUUUUGGCAGAGAGACAAAAUUGAAGGAUUUUACAAAUAUUUCAAAGGAGACAGCAAUCUCACAAUAGAUAUUGAAAGAUGCUUAACUUGCGCCCAACAAAAGGAGGACUCGUAAAUACAAACAAGUUGAUCUCUAUAUUUUUCAAUUAAAUUUAUACAUUCAAACACAUAAGAAAGGACCAUGAAAAUCAUAUAUACACACACACUUUGAUAAAUAGUUCAGUUUGUUUUUUGGUAAAAAUAGUUCAGUUUGAUAAAUAGUUCACUUUGCUUUGGUAAAAAAGUGUGGUUUUCUAGUUCACUUUGAUAAAUAGUUCAGUUUAUUUUGGUAAAAUAGUGUGGUUUUGUUGUUCAGUUUGCUAAAUAGUUCAGUUUGCUAAAUGGUUCAGUUUGAUAAAUAGUUCAGUUUGCUAAAUAGUUCAGUUUGAUAAAUAGUUCUGUUUGCUUUGGUAAAAAAGUGUGGUUUUCUACUUUAAUGUUGAUAAAUAGUUGAGUUUGCUAAAUGGUUCAGUUUGAUAAAUAGUUCAGUUUGCUAAAAGUUCAGUUUGCUUUGGUAAAAAAGUGUGGUUUUCUAGUUCAGUUUGUUUUGAUAAAAAAGUGCGGUUUUUGUACUUCAGUUUGAUAUAUAGUUCAGUUUCAUAAAUAGUUCAGUUUGCUUUGGUAAAAAAGUGUGGUUUUCUAGUUCACUUUGAUAAAUAGUUCAGUUUGAUAAAUAGUUCAGUUUGCUAAAUGGUUUAGUUUGAUAAAUAGUUCAGUUUGAUAAAUAGUUCAGUUUAAUAUGUCAUCGAAUGUUAUAAUAUGAUCUCAUUAUCUGUCAUACUUAUUUAUUUAUCCAAAAAAAAAAAAUGCAGAUUGGAUUGUGGCAUAUUUGUCCUUCAAUUUGCAACCCAAGUGCAAGAGGGCAAACCGGUAGAAGCCACAUUUGAGAAGGAAAAUGUAUUUGCUAAAAGAGCUCAAAUUGCAACUACACUUGUGAAUCAUAAGAAUAGUUAUGCAAAUGGACUGAAGAAGAUACUUGAAGACAGAAGACAACAAAAUAAACAUGGUCAAUAUGAUGACAUUCCAGAUGAGGAUUUUAUUACAUUAGCUUGAGUUUUACAAAUUACAUUUUAUAUCAAUGUACAUCUACAUACAAAACCCCGAGCUCAGGUGGGCUUGUAUGCUGGUGCCCAUCCCAUACUUGCGUACAUUUUAUAAUUUUUUUUGCCCUAUAUGGCCUAAUAACAUUACUCAUCUAAAGAAACCAUAUAAAAAAUGAAAAAGAAGUUUAGUAUGAAGCCAAUUAACUUCGCAUACCUGAUGCUUUGAGUUAUAACUUAUAAGAAUGAGAACUAUAUUAAAAAAUUUCACAUGCUUACAUUUUGACACUUCCUUUUUUAUAUCAAUGUACAUCUACAUACAAAACCCCGAGCUCAGGUGGGCUUGUAUGCUGGUGUCCAUCCCAUACUUGCGUACGUUUUAUAAUUUUUUUGCCCUAUGUGGCCUAAUACCAUUACUCAUCUAAAGAAACCAUAUAAAAAUGAAAAAAAGAAGUUUAGUAUGAAGCCAAUUAACUUCACAUACCUGAUUCUUUGAGAUAUAACUUAUAAGAAUGAGAACUAUAUUAAAAAAUUUCACAUGCUUACAUUUUGACACUUCCUUUUUUUGUUAAAGUUCCAUUUUAUUAUCCAAAAAAUAUAUAGUUACCAAAUUAGAUAAAUUUAUGCAAAACAAAAAACUAGAUAACUUAAACUGUUUCUGAAAUAUAUGUACACACUAUAUCUAAAAAAUGAAAAAUAACAGCUUUUUUUUUUUUUUUUUUUUUUUCAGUUCCAAAUCAGCACCCCAUCCUUCACGCAUAAUUAACGCCCAGCAAAAAUCAUCAUUUCACUCUUCCGCUAACUUCACUUUCUCUCCCUAACACCACUCCCAUUUUCACGCACAGAUAAGCCACGAUGAAGAAACUGCAUGCACUAUAAAAAAAAACCAGAAACCCAGCCCCCAGCCCCCAGCUCAAAUCAUCAAUCCUCAUUUCCCGAUUUCGUACAUCAUUCCAGUUCUUUUACGGACGAAUUCACGCAAAUUUCAACUUCGCUGAGCAACUUGGUCGCAGAAAUACCCAGAAAAUAAACAGAAGGUAACAAUCUUACAAUUUUUCUCAACAUAUUUCGCAAAAUCAUACGGUUCAUUGUUUAUAUAACAAACAUCUACUGGAAUCCAGCAUAUAGAAUAACAUGCAUCAACUUAAACAAAACCCAGAUUAUACUAUUUGCUUAAAUUUAUUUUGUUAUUUACUAUCAGUACGAAUCCAUCACAGAUCCACCCAAGAAAAGACUAUUUACUAGCUAAUCGUUCAAUAUAUAAACAUACAUUAUGCUAUUACACGAACUAUUGUGAUUCUCUGUUUGUAAUUUUUAUAUUUGAGUAAAAUAGUUCACGAUUUUUAAGUUUAAUAAACACUGUUUACGAAAUAGUUUACAAUUUGCUUUCAUUUGUAAAUAGAAUUGAAAUGUACGGAAAUAGUAAAAUCUGGGAUGCAUUCACGAACAAGUAGUAUAAACAUAUAUUACGCUAUUGCAUGAACUAGUGUGAUUGUCUGUUAAUAAUUUUUACAUUCAGUAAAUAGUUUGUGUUUUUUAAAGUUUAAUAAACAGUGUUUACGAAACAGUUUACAAUUGCUUCAUUUAUAAAUAGAAUUGCAAUUUUUCCAGAUCUUACACAUAAAACACCUGCUAUUGUACAUUUUUAUUUCUAAUUUAUUUAGUUAUAUGAAUCUUAUAAAGAUUUAUGCACUUAUAAAAAUGUUUUCCAAUUCCAUAAAUAGUAAUUCACCUUGGUAUGUUUCAAAUAUAAUCGUGUACUUGUACUGAUUUUUUUUUGUUUACGAUCAAGUUGGAUUCUAAUAAAAACUAUAUUGACAGAUGGUUUCAGUUAGAAUAACUGUACAAAUGUCAAACUCAACCAAAGCCAAUGUCAAAAUGAUAUCCAAAACAACAAAGAGAACAGAACAAAGGAAAAUGCUUGGAAAAAAUAGAAAACAGAUCACGUACGAAGAAGGAAACAAUUCAUCUACAGAUUGACACCACUACUGAAGAAGAAGUUGGAGAACCAAUGCAAAUUGCAAAGAAAAAGGUGGAAAAAAAACAACCACUACAAAGGCAGAGGAAUUGGAAGACACAACCUAAAGAACAGAACAAUUGUGAAUCAAGGAUGCAGAGAAGAAAAGAUGCCAAACACUCCAACCACCAACAGCAAUCAAGAGAAAGAAAAAGGAAAAUGCCAAACCAGUUUCAGAAUCAAACAAGCAACAAAUUGAAGAAACAGAUAUUGAAGCUCUAAAAAGCAACAAUGCUCUCAACAAGAAUGAUCUACAAGUCAAAAAGCAAACAUUCAGCCAAAAAGCAGCAAAGCCAAAGACAAAAAAACAGAAAGAAACUCUUGGGUGAAAUUCCAUCAUUCAACCUGGAUUUAAAAGAUGAGCCUUCUUCACAACCGGAUGACCUUCCAGCAACAAAUCACAUAGACAGCAGUGUGAAUUGGACACAACUUCAAGUGUACAAGAUGCUGAAACCAGAUGAUAGAAGAAGAAUAACUCAAUUCUAGUCAAUAGACAUCAGGUAAGUAAUACAAAACAAAACUCUUAACUGAAGUUUUUACACACUCCCAUAACUUUAUAAGCACUGACGAAAUUAUUGUAUAACUAAUACUUUUGCACUGUCCUGCAGUGAUGAAUACUGGAUGGCUGAAACUACAGAUUUCAACUAUUACAGAAUAAUGGUGUUGAAAGAUGACAUGCACAGUUUGAUUGCAAAUGGACCUACAUCAACUCAGAUUGUUGAUUCUUUCUGCUACAUGAAAAGAGAAAAAGAGAACAUCACGAAACAAAAGAACUUCUAUGUCUCCACAACAAUCUUUUGUGAGCAAACAAAAACAACUAAUAUUCUGAAAAAAAUAAUUUACAUAUACAUAUAAAAAUUAGAACAAUUAAUCUGUAAUUAUGAUGUUUGAUGAUUUUCAUUUUCAACAGCACAACAUCAAUGAACAAAGCAUUGAAACAACUCUGCAAAACAAGGAAAGGCUCUACAACCAAUUGAUGGACCAAUAUGGAAUAGUAUCAAAGAUUUUCUUCCCAUUAUUUCAUUACAACCAUUUCUCCUUGGUAGUUUUGGACACAAAAAAUGCAGAAAUGAUUCACUACAAUUCUCUUCGACAAAGCACAACAGAUGAAGAUCUGGACUUUGAUUGCUACUGGGAAAAUUCAGAAAUUGUGGUAAGCAAAAAACGCACAACCAAAAACUCUGUCAUANNNNNNNNNNNNNNNNNNNNNNNNNNNNNNNNNNNNNNNNNNNNNNNNNNNNNNNNNNNNNNNNNNNNNNNNNNNNNNNNNNNNNNNNNNNNNNNNNNNNNNNNNNNNNNNNNNNNNNNNNNNNNNNNNNNNNNNNNNNNNNNNNNNNNNNNNNNNNNNNNNNNNNNNNNNNNNNNNNNNNNNNNNNNNNNNNNNNNNNNNNNNNNNNNNNNNNNNNNNNNNNNNNNNNNNNNNNNNNNNNNNNNNNNNNNNNNNNNNNNNNNNNNNNNNNNNNNNNNNNNNNNNNNNNNNNNNNNNNNNNNNNNNNNNNNNNNNNNNNNNNNNNNNNNNNNNNNNNNNNNNNNNNNNNNNNNNNNNNNNNNNNNNNNNNNNNNNNNNNNNNNNNNNNNNNNNNNNNNNNNNNNNNNNNNNNNNNNNNNNNNNNNNNNNNNNNNNNNNNNNNNNNNNNNNNNNNNNNNNNNNNNNNNNNNNNNNNNNNNNNNNNNNNNNNNNNNNNNNNNGGCGUGGAACAAGGCAUCGGCAGUAGCAGUAAUUUGGUUUCUUUUAUUCAGUUUUAUUUUAUGCAUAUUUUUUAGGGAGCUUUAAUGAAAAGGGAUUGAAUUAACUUUUAAUUAAUGAAAAACCACCCUAAACUAUUAUUUAAUGAAAAUGGCUUAAAUUUUAAUCAUAAGGACACAAAACUUUUUUAUCUUAGGCCCUACAAAACUAAAAACACACGGGCUCACCAAAAAGCCCAAACCGCAUAACAAUUAAUAUUCCAAAAUUACCCCUAACGGAGCCUAACCCAGGCCCCGUUAACUAAAGUUACUGAAAUUCAUCAUCCCUCCCAACGCCAUUAAUGUUCACCAAACCCUUACACCGUACUAAAAAAAACGAAACCUCCAUUGCUGCAAACGUCAAGUUCUCAAAGCGUUUUCAAGUUCGAUUCAAGUUUUCAAGCAAUAAUCUACACAUCAAAUCCGGAAUUUCUCAACCCACAAACUACAUUUGAGGACGAAAAACUGAAAACAUUCGAUCUGUACGUUUGCAGAGUCGAAAUCGGACAAACACAGGUACGAACCUAUAAUUUUUCUGAUAUUCUUGAUGAUUUCUUUCUUUAAUUUACUGAAUAUGUUGCAUUUGCAUGUUUGAGAUUCUAAAAAAGUGAAUUAUGUUUCCAGUUCACAGUUCUGAUUUGCAUCCAGACGAAAACACACAAAAAAUUUGCGAAAUAAAAGCAACAGAGAAGAAACAGAGGUAUGUACCACAAAAUUUCUGAUAUUUUUGGUGAUUUUACAGUAAUAUGUAAGUUUUGCAAUGCUUCGAAUAGCAAUGUUUCUGCAAAAUGGUAUAUUUUUACUUCACUUUGAUAACUGCUCGUUUUCUUAUAACCUUUAAAUAGUAUUUUCUUGCCCUCAUAUGUUGUUUUCUUUGCUUAAAUAACUUAAAUAUAAUCAACAUUCUAUUCUGGUGGUGUUUUAGUUUAAUAUAUAGUGUUUACAAAAUCUGGGAUGCAUUCACGAACGAGUGUGGUUUUCUACUUCAGUUUGAUAAAUAGUUCAGUUUGGUAAAUGGUUCAGUUUGAUAAAUAGUUGAGUUUGCUAAAUAGUUCAGUUUGAUAAAUAGUUCAGUUUGUUUUGUAAAAAAAUGUGGUUUUCUCGUUCAGUUUGCUAAAUAGUUCAGUUUGAUUUGUAAAAAAGUGUGGUUUUGUAGUUCACUUUGAUAAAUAGUUCAGUUUGCUAAAUGGUUUAGUUUGAUAAAUAGUUCAGUUUGUUUUGUAAAAAAAGUGUGAUUUUCUACUUCAGUUUAAUAAAUAGUUCAGUUUGCUUUGGUAAUAAAUAGUUGUAAUAAUUAAACUAUGUUUAUUCUUACAGAUGGACGGAACAAAGAAACUAAGAAUAAAGACUUUCGCUGUAAAGAGUCCACGUAAGAUAGAGAAUAUAAGACCAGCAACUUCUUAUGUUCAAUAUAGAUGCAACGUUUUCGGGUUUGCAAAUGCAAUGCAAUUGUACAGACCAAUGCUUUCAACAACGCCAAGAUGUCAUUCAAUCAUUUGGCCGAGACACACCAUUUUGGAGUCUAAUCAAGUUCUACAUAGAUGAUGAAAUUGUUGCAACGGACAGAAAAAAGAAGUCUGAUAUGGAUCUGAUCAAGAUCAUACAAUGCUAUGACUCCAAGCAACAACGGUUCAAAUUCGGAGAUCAUGAGCCAAAAGCAAUAACAAGUGAAGACGUCGUUCAAAUAUUUGGAUUGAACAACCAAGGGGUUGAACUACCAAACACAGACAAAUCCACAAAGAACAUGAAGGACAGCUUUGUCAAAACAUACUUUGCAAAGCAAAAAAUAGUGAAAAAAAAGGACAUUGUUGAAGCAUACCAAAAAUCAGUCCAAGACAAAACUCCUGAAGGGGCAAAAGCUACUGCUUCAAUUAUAUGUGUGCAUCUGCUACAAUCACUGUUAUUUGCAACAUCUGGAACUUACAUAGCGUGGAGCUUCAUAACAAUUUGUGGAGCUUUGGACCAAAUCAGCAAAUACAACUGGGCAAAAGGAGUGAGGGACUACUUGUUCAAGAGGAUUAACAAAUCAAAGAAAAAAAGGAAAAAUGGAGAAGAAUCAGCAAUAACAAGCGGAUGCACUACCCUUAUUUUGGUAAGAAAUAAGAACUAUAUUUAAAAAACAUGAAUUAUUUCUUAUAAAUUACACAAGAAAGUAAUUCAAAGUUCUUAUUUCAUGCAGUAUUGGAUUUGUCUUCACACCAAUCUGGUGGAGACAAUAAGUGGGCUAGAAAACAUGAUUCCUGUCAUUGGAAGAUGGGACAUAACGAAAAUCCACAAAGCAAUCAGAGACAUUCGAGUUGAAGAAAUUGAGGUAAGGAAAAAUAAUAAAAGUAUUUCAAUAAACAGUAUAUUUUUGCACCUUACAGUUUCAUAACAUAGUGAUCUUUACAGUUUAAAGUUUCAGAAGUGUCAUUUAUAUAAAACAGAUCCAGCAAUAGUGUCAUUUAUGCAAACUAGUGUGAUUCAAUAAAUAGUAACAGAAAUAGCGUAAAAAAGAAAAGUGUAUUUCAAUAAAUAGUUCAGUUUGUUUUGAUAAAAAAGUGCGGUUUUUUACUUCAGUUUAAUAAAUAGUUCAGUUUGCUAAGUGGUUCAGUUUGAUAUAUAGUUCUGUUUGUUUUGUAAAAAGAGUGUGUUUUCUAGUUCAGUUUGAUAAAUAGUUGCGUUUGUUUUGUAAAACAAUGUGGUUUUCUAGUUCACUUUGAUAAAUAGUUCAGUUUGCUUUCAUACAAAAGUGUGGUUUUCUAGUUAACUUUGAUAAAUAGUUCAGUUUGUUUUGGUAAAAAAGUGUGGUUUCUACUUCAGUUUCAUAAAUAGUUCAGUUUGCUUUGGUAAAAAAGUGUGGUUUUCUAGUUCAGUUUGCUAAAUAGUUCAGUUUGAUUUGGUAAAAAAGUGUGGUUUUGUAGUUCACUUUGAUAAAUAGUUCAGUUUGCUAAAUGGUUUAGUUUGCUAAAUGGUUUUAGUUUGAUAAAUAGUUCAGUUUGGUUAAAUGGUUCAGUUUGGUAAAUGGUUCAGUUUGCUAAAUAGUUGAGUUUGCUAAAUAGUUCAGUUUGUUUUGUAAAAAAAUGUGGUUUUCUAAUUCACUUUGAUAAAUAGUUCAGUUUGUUUUGUAAAAAGAGUGGUUUUCUAGUUCAUUUUGAUAAAUAGUUCAGUUUGCUUUCAUACAAAAGUGUGGUUUUCUAGUUAACUUUGAUAAAUAGUUCAGUUUGUUUUGGUAAAAAAAUGUGGUUUCUACUUCAGCUUCAUAAAUAGUUCAGUUUGCUUUGGUAAAAAAGUGUGGUUUUCUAGUUCAGUUUGCUAAAUAGUUCAGUUUGAUUUGGUAAAAAAGUGUGGUUUUUUAGUUCACUUUGAUAAAUAGUUCAAUUUGCUAAAUGAUUUAGUUUGCUAAAUGGUUUAGUUUGAUAAAUAGUUCAGUUUGGUAAAUGGUUCAGUUUGGUAAAUGGUUCAGUUUGCUAAUAGUUGAAGUUUGCUAAAUACUUUGAGUUUGCUAAAUAGUUCAGUUUGAUUUGGUAAAAAAGUGUGGUUUUGUAGUUCACUUUGAUAAAUAGUUCAGUUUGCUAAAUGGUUUAGUUUGCUAAAUGGUUUAGUUUGAUAAAUAGUUCAGUUUGGUAAAUGGUUGAGUUUGGUAAAUGGUUCAGUUUGGGUAAUGGUUCAGUUUGCUAAAUAGUUGAGUUUGCUAAAUACUUGAGUUUGCUAAAUAGUUCAGUUUGAUUUGGUAAAAAAGUGUGGGUUUUGUAGUUCACUUUGAUAAAUAGUUCAGUUUGCUAAAUGGUUUAGUUUGCUAAAUGGUUUAGUUUGAUAAAUAGUUCAGUUUGGUAAAUGGUUGAGUUUGGUAAAUGGUUCAGUUUGGUAAAUGGUUCAGUUUGCUAAAUAGUUGAGUUUGCUAAAUACCUGAGUUUGCUAAAUAGUUCAGUUUGAUAAAUAGUUCAGUUUGUUUUGUAAAAAAGUGUGGUUUUCUAGUUCAGUUUGAUAAAUAGUUCAGUUUGUUUUGUAAAAAAAUGUGGUUUUCUAGUUCACUUUGAUAAAUAGUUCAGUUUGCUUUCAUACAAAAGUGUGGUUUUCUAGUUAACUUUGAUAAAUAGUUCAGUUUGUUUUGGUAAAAAAGUGCGGUUUUCUACUUCAGUUUAAUAAAUAGUUCAGUUUGCUAAGUGGUUCAGUUUGAUAUAUAGAUCUGUUUGUUUUGUAAAAAGAGUGUGGUUUUCUAGUUCACUUUGAUAAAUAGUUCAGUUUGCUUUCAUACAUUAGUGUGGUUUUCUAGUUAACUUUGAUAAAUAGUUCAGUUUAUUUUGGUAAAAAACUGUGGUUUCUACUUCAGUUUCAUAUUAUGUAAUUUAACAACUAUUUAAUGUGUCACUGUGCAGAUUGGUGGAGGUAUUCCUUGUUCUGAAGAACCAAUAAGGGAGCAUUCCAACAUCAAUCAAGAAGAAUGUAAUGCCAUUCCUUAUCCUCAACAAAAUAAUGAGUCUUCCAAGAAAAAGGAAAAGAAGACACCGGGAAGGAAAAGGAAGAGAACUGAAGUUGGAGCUGAAGAAGAUCAAAGCAUCACCAUCAAUGAAGCUCAGUUACAGUUUGAUCAACUGUACCAAGAAGAAUUCAUGAAAUUUGAUGCAAGUUAUCAAAAGGACUUCUUCGGGAUUGAUAAUACAUUAGGUGUGGAAGAUUUUGAAAAGUUUAAAAGAUGUGCGAGCAUGGAUCAAAAGAGGUAUCUAGUCCUCAGUCACAUGAUGAUAUAUGCACUCGACAACCUACACACAAAUUCAAUUGUAAUGAAUGAAACAACUGGAGCCCUUAACAGAAACAUUGAAAAGCUUCUGCAAGAACGACUUGAGGACAAGCAGAAGAUUAGUUUAAUGAACACAGAAAUGAUACAGUUGCAAUUAAAUAACACAGCAGCUUCUAUGAAAGUAAAUAAAUUUCUGGAUGAAAUUGGAAGUUUGAAGAAGAAGCUACUGGAAAAUCAAGGUGAGGAUCCAGAUAAUGAUGAUCAAGUUGAAGAGCAUACACAUGAUAAGGAUACUGCUACUGAGGAUCCAGUUCAAGAGAAUGCAACUGAAAAUGAUGUGGCUAUGGAGGAUCCAAAACAAAGGCAUGCAAUUGAUCAUGGUCCAGAUGAAAAUGAGGAGGAUCAAGCUGAGGAGGAUCAAGAUCAUGAAGGAAAAGACGCUGCCACUGAAAAAGCAACCUCUGGAGAUCAACCAGGUGUUCAAAUGCAGACUCCAACUAUCAAGGAUGCUGAAAAGCAAGAAAAAGAGACUGCCAAAAAGAAGACGAG
rnacentral:lncRNA from 1 species